GUCUAUUGCCAUACUACCCUGAAUGCACCUGAUCUCAGUAGCUAAGUAAAGCUGGGCCUGGUUAGUACUUGGGUGGGAGAAUUCAUAUUGGAAGUGACU
rnacentral:rRNA from 1 species